GAAACAUCUUAGUACCCGGAGGAAGAGAAAGAAAAUUCGAUUCCCUUAGUAGCGGCGAGCGAAACGGGAAGAGCCCAAACCAACAAGCUUGCUUGUUGGGGUUGUAGGACACUCUAUACGGAGUUACAAAGGACGACAUUAGACGAAUCAUCUGGAAAGAUGAAUCAAAGAAGGUAAUAAUCCUGUAGUCGAAAAUGUUGUCUCUCUUGAGUGGAUCCUGAGUACGACGGAGCACGUGAAAUUCCGUCGGAAUCUGGGAGGACCAUCUCCUAAGGCUAAAUACUCUCUAGUGACCGAUAGUGAACCAGUACCGUGAGGGAAAGGUGAAAAGCACCCCGGAAGGGGAGUGAAAUAGAACCUGAAACCGUGUGCUUACAAGUAGUCAGAGCCCGUUAAUGGGUGAUGGCGUGCCUUUUGUAGAAUGAACCGGCGAGUUACGAUUUGAUGCAAGGUUAAGCAGUAAAUGUGGAGCCGUAGCGAAAGCGAGUCUGAAUAGGGCGUUUAGUAUUUGGUCGUAGACCCGAAACCAGGUGAUCUACCCUUGGUCAGGUUGAAGUUCAGGUAACACUGAAUGGAGGACCGAACCGACUUACGUUGAAAAGUGAGCGGAUGAACUGAGGGUAGCGGAGAAAUUCCAAUCGAACCUGGAGAUAGCUGGUUCUCUCCGAAAUAGCUUUAGGGCUAGCCUCAAGUGAUGAUUAUUGGAGGUAGAGCACUGUUUGGACGAGGGGCCCCUCUCGGGUUACCGAAUUCAGACAAACUCCGAAUGCCAAUUAAUUUAACUUGGGAGUCAGAACAUGGGUGAUAAGGUCCGUGUUCGAAAGGGAAACAGCCCAGACCACCAGCUAAGGUCCCAAAAUAUAUGUUAAGUGGAAAAGGAUGUGGCGUUGCCCAGACAACUAGGAUGUUGGCUUAGAAGCAGCCAUCAUUUAAAGAGUGCGUAAUAGCUCACUAGUCGAGUGACACUGCGCCGAAAAUGUACCGGGGCUAAACAUAUUACCGAAGCUGUGGAUUGUCCUUUGGACAAUG
rnacentral:rRNA from 1 species